AAUUUGUGACUACUUCCUUGAUAUAUUGAACGUUAAACAAUUGAGUUCAUCAUUGCAUUCUAGUACAAAGCAUGUUAGUAUUCAUACCACAUCAACAAGUCCUCAUUAUUUAUUGCAUGUAAUAUUUGCUCUUAGACUUGAUUUUGGCACCAAUGCAGCCGUCAAUAAGUGUUUGAUCUGUUUUAUGUUUGUCUUGUUUUGGACAUCAACUCAGAUUAACUAAAGUGUGGAAAACAAUCACCGAUUAACAAGGGGGAAGAUACUAGAGGGACAUUCAAAUUCAAAAAUAUAAAAUAACUAACAACCCCAUGGCUAAAAAAUAAAAAGACAAACAGACCAAUAUAAGUACACAAGACACAACAUAGAACACUAACGACUUUAAGCAAAUAAACUGUUAACGUACACCCAAUAAAACGUGAAAUCGGCGGUAUCAGCAUAAAUAGAUGAUAAAAUGGGAAUCAUAAUGCAAGCUUCAAACCACAAACAUGUCUUUACAAUUAACUGCAUUGAAUGCAUUUUAAAGUAGAUACAUUGUCAAUUGUCACAGC
rnacentral:lncRNA from 1 species